rnacentral:RNase_P_RNA from 1 species
UAGGGCUAGGAGAUGAUCGCUCCCGCCGGAUUUGGGCGGGGGAGGAAAGUCCGGGCUCCAUAAGGCAGAGUGCUCCGUAAUUCGGAGGCUUACGUCCCGAAAGGGGUGUAAGACGGAAAGUGCCACAGAAAAAAAACAGCUCCUCAUUUUUUUGGGGGGUCAAGGUGAAACGGCGGUUUAAGAGACCACCGGUCCAACGGCAACUGCGGACGCAUGGCAAACCCCACUUGGAGAAAGACUGAAUAGAAGACGAUCGGCUUGCCCUUAAAAGACGUCGAGCCAGGGAAUAGCCUGUUCCCUGUCCCCCACCACUUUAAGGUGAUAAUCUUUGGACACACCUUAAAGUGGUGGGGGACUAAAGUCUUGGGUUAGUCGCAUGAGAUUUCGUGAGAGCGGAAUCCUAGACAGAUGAUCAUCGUCCCCCACUACUUUAAGGUUCGUCCCCUGUGACAUUCCUUAAAGUAGUGGGGGAUUACAGAACUCGGCUUAACUUAGCGUUACCGC